UAAUAUUUCUUUAAAUAUUUUCCGUUGAUUGGUUUUUCACUUUCUGACCCAUCUCUGUUUUGCAAAUAAUAUGCAUUUCCUCUUGUGAUUCGGCUAAUCUGGAAUGGUCCUUCCCAAUUGGGGACCAUUUUCCAUAUCAUUCGGUCUUUUUGACCGAUCGAAAAAACCAGCCGAAGUACUAAAUGACCAACGACAAAUGUUUUUAAUCGAACUUUUUUAUUAUACACAUUACGUACUCGGCUUUGGUACGCUUGCAUAUUAUCUAAAACUAUCAACCGAGUAUCUAUUAUCUCCUCUAUUUUGUCUUUCAUUAACUCACUAUAUUCAUCAGCCGAAAGAUUUUUUUAUUUUUAUAUUCUUAAAGAAGGGACUGUUAAAUAUUCAUCAGCCGAAAGAUUUUUUUAUUUUUCUAUU
rnacentral:lncRNA from 1 species